ACUUCCAUAAAAUACUAGAGAUGAUUCCAGAUACAUAAUAAUUGUUGUUUCUUCAAGCAGAGCUGGGAGGCAGAGAGGACAGAAUCUGCAUGAAUGUGGUGACUUCAGUAGACCCUAAUAGGAAGUUCAAAUAAUACAGUAUAUGUAUAACAGCAUUUCAGCCAGGGAGGAAGAAGAGAACCUGACUACCGAACCAGAAGGGAAAACUGCUACACACCACCCUGAUUAUUAGGCACAGAGAAGACAUCUUUGCCAUCCUCAUAGUAGGCAGGUUGCCGCCUGCAGCCCUAUCUGACAUCUGCUGCUACAGACCACUGUGGAUGCUGAAUUCUGGAGCUGUCUUCCCUUGCUGCCUCCUCUUUAGCUGUUCUUCUAGAUUUCCUGAACAACUCAGAGAGAUCACCUAAGGACACAGAGCCUCAUAAAUCAAAGGCUUUCAAGCAGACAGGCGCAAGAUGAGGAACUUUUGAUCAGAAACUGGUCAGACAUUCCCAGAGUGGUUGAGAGCCUGUCAAGGUCACUGCCAAGGACAAGAGAGUCAAUUAGUAUGCAGAUCAGAGGCAAGGAGUUCAAAGUUUGUGUCCAGCCUUCCUCUAUCAUGCAUGCUGUAACUUCUGCCAGUGAUAUCAGCCCACAGUAAGUCAACCUGGGCAGAGUACAAGGUGAAAGAAUAUUUCAAUCUAAACUGCAUAUCCCUUCUGUGUUUUCUGAUUAAAAUUUGCAAGUAA
rnacentral:lncRNA from 1 species